CGAGAUAUUACCGAGAGCGGGUCCUUUGGGCCCAACCUCCCAUCCGNUGCUCUAUUGUUACCCNUGUUUGCAUUCGGCGGGCCCGCCGCNUUGUCGGCCGCCGGGGGGGCGCCUCUGCCCCCCGGGCCCGUGCCCGCCGGAGACCCCAACACGAACACUGUCUGAAAGCGUGCAGUCUGAGUUGAUUGAAUGCAAUCAGUUAAAACUUUCAACAAUGGAUCUCUUGGUUCCGGCAUCGAUGAAGAACGCAGCGAAAUGCGAUAACUAAUGUGAAUUGCAGAAUUCAGUGAAUCAUCGAGUCUUUGAACGCACAUUGCGCCCCCUGGUAUUCCGGGGGGCAUGCCUGUCCGAGCGUCAUUGCUGCCCUCAAGCCCGGCUUGUGUGUUGGGUCGCCGUCCCCCUCUCCGGGGGGACGGGCCCGAAAGGCAGCGGCGGCACCGCGUCCGAUCCUCGAGCGUAUGGGGCUUUGUCACAUGCUCUGUAGGAUUGGCCGGCGCCUGCCGACGUUUUCCAACCAUUCUUUCCAGGUUGACCUCGGAUCAGGUAGGGAUACCCGCUGAACUUAAGCAUAUCAAUAA
rnacentral:rRNA from 1 species